rnacentral:rRNA from 1 species
AUUGAACGCUGGCGGCAUGCCUUACACAUGCAAGUCGAACGGUAACAGGUCUUCGGAUGCUGACGAGUGGCGAACGGGUGCGUAAUACAUCGGAACGUGCCCGAUCGUGGGGGAUAACGAAGCGAAAGCUUUGCUAAUACCGCAUACGAUCUACGGAUGAAAGCAGGGGACCGCAAGGCCUUGCGCGAACGGAGCGGCCGAUGGUAGAUUAGGUAGUUGGUGGGAUAAAAGCUUACCAAGCCGACGAUCUGUAGCUGGUCUGAGAGGACGACCAGCCACACUGGGACUGAGAAACGGCCCAGACUCCUACGGGAGGCAGCAGUGGGGAAGUUUGGACAAUGGGCGAAAGCCUGAUCCAGCCAUGCCGCGUGCAGGAUGAAGGCCUUCGGGUUGUAAACUGCUUUUGUACGGAACGAAAAGACUCUGGUUAAUACCUGGGGUCCAUGACGGUACCGUAAGAAUAAGCACCGGCUAACUACGUG